rnacentral:rRNA from 1 species
UACGUAGGGUGCAAGCGUUAAUCGGAAUUACUGGGCGUAAAGCGUGCGCAGGCGGUUUUGUAAGUCUGUCGUGAAAUCCCCCGGGCUUAACCUGGGAAUGGCGAUGGAGACUGCAAGGCUAGAAUCUGGCAGAGGGGGGGUAGAAUUCCACGUGUGAGCAGUGAAAUGCGUAGAUAUCGGAAGGAACAUCAGUGGCGAAAAGCGGCUUCCUGGACCAGAACUGACGAUCAGGCU